rnacentral:rRNA from 1 species
AAUGAACGCUGGCGGCAGGCCUAAAACAUGCAAGUCGAACGCUUGUAGCAAUACAAGAGUGGCGCACGGGUGAGUAGCACGUGGGAAUAUGCCUUUUGGUACGGGACAGCUCUGGGAAACUGGAAUUAAUACCGUAUGGUCCCUUCGGGGUAAAGAUUUAUCGCCAAAAGAUUAGCCCGCGGUGGAUUAGCUAGUUGGUAGGGUAAUGGCCUACCAAGGCGACGAUCCAUAGCUGGUCUGAGAGGACGAUCAGCCACACUGGGACUGAGA